rnacentral:misc_RNA from 1 species
UUGAUUGAUUGUUUUUUCAAUACUCGACGUAAAGACGCAGUGUGUUUGGUUGGACCUCUGGGGGACUCCCGGCGCAGGGUCCGGGUCGCCCCCCGAGGCAACGGAUAGUAAUCGACAAAGGGUUGGAGGUUGGGCGCGAGGGCCCGCACUCGGUAAUGAUCCCUCCGCAGGUUCACCUACGGAGA